rnacentral:lncRNA from 1 species
GAACAUAGAGUAUUCUGACAUUUGAAUCGUGCGAUUUCAUCCAAUAUUCAUGGAGAAAUCUGGAUCUAAAGUUUGAGCAUCAAAACUUUUCUUGAUCGAAUCUUUUACUAUGUUGAGUUCUAGAUUAAAUCAUGUUGAUAUUAGUGAUGUGCAUGAUGAGACGAUUGCAACGAUAUAUCAUUUGCUGGUUUUCGUGGCAAAAGAGUGAUGUUGAUGAUGAACAGUGCGCGACGAUGAAGAACGCGUCCAAC